UUCAGUAACGCUGGUGAUUGUAGACAUCCACUGUGGACAUGAGACCUGCAUCCUUUGGGUGAAGUUUAAAGUUUAUUCACAAUGUGUUGUGCAAACAUCUGUGGUGCCAUUUAAAGGGAAACCAGCAGAGGGCGCUAACUCUUCAGAUGUGGUUAAUGUCUCAUCAGGUGGUGGCUUCACAUGACUGACUGUCACUGUGCAGAAGGAGGUCUUUGUUUAUGAGUGAGGAGUUUCAGGAAGGUCCUGAGGAGACUUGUCCUGUGAGUGUGGUGAACUCAAGAACCAAGUGUCAUUGUCUUCUGUGAACAUGCUGCCUGUCACCUGCCCAGUUCUGCUGCUCCUCUUGAUGCUCGGAAAGGUCAGUGGAGAUUCAGUGACGCAGACAGAAGGCCUGGUUACUGUCACAGAGGGGUCGCCUUUGACGCUGAACUGCACCUAUCAGACUACUGAUUCAGCUCCUACAGUUUUUUGGUACGUGCAAUACCUCAACAAAGCCCCUCAGCUGCUCCUGAAGAUCUUUACAGACAACCAGAAGACAGAGCAGCAAGGGUUCCACACCACUCUCCAUAAGAGCAGCAGCUCCUUCCCCCUGCAGAAGUCCUCAGUGCAGCUGUCAGACUCUGCCCUGUACUACUGUGCUCUGAGUGACACAGUGAGGGAGAUGCAGGGGAAGCUGCACAGAAACCAAGGUGCAGGAGGCUGAGGGGAGGGGCCCUGUGAGGGAAUGCUGUGUGACUCUCUCAGCGGGUUUAUGUAUCAUUCUGAAAAACAGCAACAAAACUCAGGUCAAUUCUUAGAAUCCCAGGAAUCUGUUGAUUUUCUGACAGGAUAGGAUGGAAGUCAUUGCCAGCGACAACACAGCCUGCCUCCACAGUGACACACUUCCUCCAACAUGACCACAUCUACUCCAACAAGGCCACAACUCCUAGUUAGUGCCACUCCUUGUGAGAUUAUAUUGGCCAGUUUCACUCAAAUUGACACAACGGCUGAUAUCUACUUAUAAAUGAGUACAUACGUUGUUUGUGUUUCUUGGUCUGGGUUACCUCACUCAGGAUUAUCUUUUCUAGGUCCAUCUACACCUUCAGCAGCCAUCAAAUUAUGAUAGGUAUAGUGGAGCCUACAUUGUUUAGAGCAGGGAAUAAUGUGCAUAACUCCACCUAAGUCAGAAAUAUGACUGGCAUUGUCUCAAGUAAGUUUCAUGUAUGUAACCACAUAUGCUAUGAAUUUAUAGGUUGCUUUUCUCCAAAAUGUAGAAUUCCACAGCAGACAUUCUCAUCCUCUGGCGCUUAUAUUCUCUCUACCUCCUCUUGUUUAAUUUUCAGCAGGAGGUGUUGAUAAAGAUGUCCUAUUUAAGAUUAGACACUCACAGUUUCUAUCUCAGUUCAUUGACUAGAAAUGAAUUUCUGCAUUGAAUACUGUCUACUACAAAAACAGGCUUCUUUCACCAAGGCUGACAUCAUCAAUGGUCUGUGUGUAUAAAUAUGACCAUUUUAUCCUAGUUUGUGUCCCUGUUCUGUAAUAGAAUACUAAAUCAAAAGUCCAAUUAGCAAUGAAAGGGUUUAUUCCAUUUUCCCCCCUGUCUAGUCCGUUACUGAGGGAAUCUAAGGUAGGAAGUCAAGAUAGGAAUCUAGAGGCAGGGAUUAAGGCAGAGAUCAUGGAGAACUAGCACUUAUUGCCCUGAUUCAGCUUACUUUCUUAUACACACAGUGACCACCUGUCCAAGGGAGUCACAACCUACAAAGGACUGUGUCAGCUCACAUAAAUCACUAAUCAAGAAAACGCUCCACAGAUAUGUCUAGAGGCCAGUAUGAUUAAAAGGAUUACUCAGUUGAGUUUCUUCUUCACAAGUGUCUUUACUCAUGUCAAGUUGGACACAUGUCAAUUUGACACAUAACCAGAUCACUAUUAAAGUAUAACUUUUCCUAUCUUGUUGACUCCUAGGAAGUUAUCUUAAUAUCACAAUAUAAAAUAUCAGAAAACUUUAAAAUUUCCACUAUUUAAAAAAUUCAGACUUUAAAAGUUCCAGGUCCCUCAGAGUAUCAAAAUUCUCUUAAUGAUGGAUUCUUAUACAAUUAAAGAAGUUAAAAAAACUUGAAAAAGCAUGAAACAGUUACAAUCAGAUCAAAGCUAAAACUCAACCCAUUAGAGUGAAUAAGUCAUUGUCUGAUGUUUGGAACUCACUCAUGAUUUUCUACACUUCAAAGGGCUUGGACAUCUCUACUUCUACAGGUUUUCCAUCCACAGCACACACAGAUUUUCUUGUUUUCUUAAGCUGAUUCCUCUGUCCUCAGUGGUUGUCCCAUGGUCCUCUUAUUUCAAUAUGUUUGAGUCCCCAAUGUUAUUGGUGUUGACCAUUAAUUAAUGGCCUCUCCUGCUUCUCUCCAUGACUCCCCUUAUCCUAGAAUCUCCACUGAGACUAUGUCUACUUUUAAAUCAUUAUCAUUCUGUUUUAAUCAUUAUGGUUUUGUUGCAUAUUUUGAAAUCCAUAAUGGUGAUUCCUCCCUCAGCAUUCUUGUUAUUUAGGUGUGAUUUGGUCUCCUUUGGUCCUUUCUUGCUCCAUUUACAUUUUUAGGGUUUUUCCUUGUAUGUCUAUGAAAACUAGUCUUGAAAUUUUGUUCAUGUAUCACAUGAAUCAAUUUUGUAAAAAAUGGGCAUUCUAUCAAAAAAGCAUUCUGUGGCUACAAUGCAACCACAAUAUAAAUUCCUGGUAUAUUCUUAAAGUGGUUUCACUUCCUUCUCUAACAGCAUUAGUGUUUUAAGUAUUUGCAUUGGACUAUUUGAUGAAUUUUUAAUUGUUUUGGUAAGCAUGAGAAAGGAAUAGUUUUAUUCUACUACAUACAGAUCUCUAUUUUGCCAGCUCCAUUUGCUGAAAGUGUCUAUUCACCAUUGUAUUUGCUGUAGUUGUAUUGAUUUCUGAGUCCUCAAGUAUAAUUCCAUCCGACUAUGUGUCUCUUUCAUUACAGGAAAAUGCUGUUGGCUCCCAUGUUGCUAUUCUUUAAUUAAUAAAAAAGUGUGGUAUCUCUUGCUU